rnacentral:rRNA from 1 species
AACGAACGCUGGCGGCAGGCUUAACACAUGCAAGUCGAACGCCCCGCAAGGGGAGUGGCAGACGGGUGAGUAACGCGUGGGAACAUACCCUUUUCUACGGAAUAGCUCUGGGAAACUGGAAUUAAUACCGUAUACGCCCUACGGGGGAAAGAUUUAUCGGGGAAGGAUUGGCCCGCGUUGGAUUAGCUAGUUGGUGGGGUAAAGGCCUACCAAGGCGACGAUCCAUAGCUGGUCUGAGAGGAUGAUCAGCCACAUUGGGACUGAGACACGGCCCAGACUCCUACGGGAGGCAGCAGUGGGGAAUAUUGGACAAUGGGCGCAAGCCUGAUCCAGCCAUGCCGCGUGAGUGAUGAAGGCCUUAGGGUUGUAAAGCUCUUUCACCGAUGAAGAUAAUGACGGUACCCGGAGAAGAAGCCCCGGCUAACUUCGUGCCAGCCGCCGCCGUAACAC